GGGGGUGCAGUUCUGCUCUGUCUCAUGGGGUCACUAUGAGUUGAAAUCCUCUCUAUGGCAAUGGGUUUGGUUAUACCUCUGGAGGAAAUCCUGUUUGUAAAUAGGGUUUUCUUUGUUGUGUUAACUAGAUCAUACCCAAGUAGGGUGGGUUCUAAAUCUAAUUAUGACUGAGUUAUAAAAAGGCCAGUACAGACAGACACACAGAGGGGAAGACAGACAACAGGUAAGAAUGGUCUACAAGCAAAGGAAUGCCACGUAUCCCCGGCAGACACCAGAAACUAGGAGAGAUGCUCACAGAUGCUCACAGAAGGAAUCAACAUGGCCAAUACCCUGAUUUGGACAUUUAGCCUCCAGAGCUGUGAGAAAAUUAAUUUCUCUUCUUUAAAGCCAAAAAAAAAAAAGAAAGGAAAUAUUACCUUAGUUAAAACGUUUCAACUGGCGUAGAGAAAGUUUUGCGGUUAAUUGCCACCCUUGUAAAUACCUCCCUGCCACUAGUUUGAUGUGAAACUGUUAUUUGCACUCAUUCUGCUUGUUAAAUAUGUUUGUUUUGCUUGUAAGGCAGAGCAUACUGUUACAGCCAAACUGAACACAGGCUUUCCCACAGAUUUUUCAUUCCUUCAAUAGAAUUUUUGUUAAAAUAUCAAAUUAGAGAGUUGGCCCAGUGACUGACAACACUAGGACAGACUAAAGGCCAUUCUUUACAUUAGAAUUCCUCCUGCUUUCCCUGAUGACAUACUUGGAAGAGGUGCCUUCACUUUUCAAACACUGUCAUGGAUCUGAUCUGCCAGCCUAGAAAAUGUGAACAAUAAUGAGUUGAGCUCAAUGUAUUUGUUCCAGGUGCAGUUAUCUUUCCUAAUAUCUUCCAGAACUCACCAUUGAGAAUUUUCGUCCUCAUUCUUCUUCCAAUAAUUUUCCCACAUAGGUUCUCAAUGUAUCCCUUUUCAUAUUUCCUUUAGUUGGGUCAGCAUGCAUCUGUCCCAUUUGGGAAGAACUAAUUUAACUUCAGAAAGUGGUUCUAAUUUAUUACGCCAUGGCAAAUUGAGUUUCCUCUGCUCAUUGCUAUGCUGUGUAUUAAGUGUGCCUCCCAGGAGGGGCAUGUCCCCACCUCCAAAUGCUUGAAGUGCUACCCAUUCCCAGUGUGUUACCGGGUUCCCAAGAGAGAGACUCAAAUGGGCCCGUGGAGCUUUUGGUGCGUAAAAGCCUUACUAAGCAGCUACUACUAAUCAGCAUUUAGGAGGCAUUGUGGGAUGGUAGAAUAAACCAGAGUUUAGGAGUCAAACAGACUUGGGUUCAAAUCCUACCUCCUUGCCUUUAAUAUGGGGAUAAGAAACCUGGAACAUUGAGCUGUUAUUUAGAUUAAAUUAAAUAAUACAUGGGAAGUGCAAAUCUUUUAUUAUUAUAAUUUCCAAGCUUUAUACCAUGAGAGAAGGAAAGGAAAAAUGCUGAAAGGACAUGUUGAUUCAAAGGUUGCCUGCUCCACAGUAUUUUUUGUGGAUUAUGUCAUGUCCUUGGGAAGAAUUGUGUUCAAUGUUUCAAGCCCAUUCUUGGGUAGAGAGAAAUAACCUAAAACUCCUGGGAAUUUGAGCUAGAAAUUUUAAGAAGAUCAUCAUUAUAGAUUUUUUGGUCAUAAUCAUGAAAUGAGAAUUUAGUUUGGUAAUGAAAAAUUCAAGUUAGUGCUAGUUGCAUAGAGAAUUAUGUAUGUGUAUGUAUAUAUAUGUAUAUAUAUGGAAACCCUGGUGGCGUAGUGUUAAAUGCUACGGCUGCUAACCAAAGGGUUGGCAGUUCGAAUCCGCCAGGCGCUCCUUGGAAACUCUAUGGGGCAGUUCUACUCUGUCCUAUAGGGUCACUAUGAGUCAGAAUCGACUGGACGGCACUGGGUUUGGUUUUUUUGUUUGUUUAUGUGUGUGUGUGUAUAUAUAUAUAUAUAUAUUUAUACCCCAAAACCAAACCCACUGCUGUGGAGUCGAUUCUGACUCAUAGCUACUCUACAGGUCAAAGUAGAACUGCCCCAUAGGGUUUCCAAGGCUGUAAUCUUUACAGAAGCAGACUGCAGAUUGCCAUAUCUUUCAUCUUCUGGUUAGUGAUAUAUAUAUAUAUACAUGUGUAUGUGUAUUUAUACACACACACACACACACACACACACACAGGGGCCCUAGUGGUGCAAUGGCAAAAGGUUGCCUGUUCGAACCCACCAGCCGAUGUGUGGAAGAAGAAUGUGGCAGUCUGCUUCUGUAGAGAUUACAGCCUUGGAAACCGUAUGCGACAGUUCUACUCUGUCCUAUAGGGUUGCUAUGAGUUGAAAUCAACUCAACGGCAAUGGGUUUGCUUUUUGGUUUAUAUAUAUGUGUAUAUAUAUGUGUGUAUAUAUGUAUAUAUAUACACAUAUAUAUAUACAUAUAUAUAUAUAUAUUCCACACAUUUUCAUGGUAACUUUUAUUAAGAAUUUUGUUAAUUUUAUAUGCUUCCAAAUAUCAUUGUAAAAGCUGAAAAGACAAUUCUCUCUAGCUCAUGGUUGUGCAGGUGGCAGAGCACAAAUAUAUGGGCCAUCAUACUCAUGAGCAUAAAUUUGCGUUUUUGUAAUGACAGUUUUCUGGAAGAUCACAAGAAAGCCUUAGAGAAGGACAGCUUGUCUGAUCAAGUGCCAGGGCAUCACUGAAACUGUCCUUUUUCAGUAGAGGGCUGAGGUGCAGACCUCAGGCACCUAAUACAACUGGUAGUUAGAUAGAUCAUUACUGCUGGGUCUCUGGGGUCUAUGAUACUGAAAAGAGUCACGAGUAGGAUAAAUAUUGGUACUUUCAAAGGCUUUCAAGGGGAGAAAUAAUAGGAAAAAGAUGACAAAGUUCUUUGCCUUAAAAUAUGAAGAUAAAAUUACUGAAGAUCUCAAAGAUUUAAAAAUUUUGAGCUUGAGCAAAAUCAAGAAAUGUCUGUGCUUUUCCACCUGAGCACAGAAUUUCCACCCUAGGUUAAGAUGUCUCUCUGUGCCAUUAACAACCUGAGCCUUCCGAGGGGCCCACUCCAGAACUGUUUGCUUCCUUUGAUUUAGUCAAGAUGCCUUUUCCGUGUUAGCAAAUGGCAACUCUUAGUUAGCUAAAUCUGGCUCUACCGCCAGGUAUGUGGUCAUGAGCAAGCCACUUCUAUUUUCUAAGCCUCAGUUCCCUCAUCCUUAACGUAGGGCCGAUAAUACCUACCUCAUGGAGUUAUAGUGAAGAGUAGAAGAAAUAUUGCAGCUCAACAUGCUCAGACCAAUGCUUCCCACACAACAAGAAGCGUGUGCUGUUCUUUUUAAUCAUCAUCAUCAUUGUAAAAUUAAUCCCAAAUGCAACAUUUCACGGGAAUGCAGUGAGCACCUCUUAUGAAGUAGCUGAUCAUAUUACUAUUUUGGAGUGACCGAAUACCUAGAAGAGCCUGGCUGGUAAAGUGAUUUGAGGGAAGUGGGCUGGUGGAAAGACAAGACACUGUGUGAGUAGGAAGAUGGAUGGAACUGACGUUGGAGUGCUGAAUAUGUGAGUCAGAAGCUGGCAGCAGAGAGUGGGUUGUCGCUGCAGGCAGAGGGCAUAGCCACCCUAUCUGAGGGUCAGCCACUCAGCUGGGUACAACCCUCUGGGAAUUUGGGCUAGUGUUGCUGAUCUUGCCAUGUUUUUCAAGGAAAUAUGGAAAUCCAAAAUGAAAUUCUCUGAUUUUUAAAUAAUAGCUUUUGUUAAACUAUAAUGAAUUAUAUAUGUACUUCCACCAUAACAUCGAAAAGAAUGUAAAUAGCAUUUUUAGCCUGUAAGAAUUUUAUUUUUAAUAAAUGUUAGAUAGUGUUAUUAUUAUAAUGUUCUUGAUUUUUUAGCUUCAUUUUAAACAUUUUUAAAUCUGAAUACAGAAAAUACUGUAUUCAACCAUAGAUAAGAAAGCUUCACUGUGUUUAAAGAUGAGUUGAUUGUGGCUUUAAGUUUAGAAAAAUGCAAACCAACCCCCAGAUUUUUUACCUUGAUUCCAUUUAUAAAGAUACCACUGUGUGUUCAAAGCAAAUACAUUUACCGCAUAGCCUACUACCAUUUAGAAAACCUCACUCUUCACCCUAUAUACGUUAAUAAAGCCAUUCUUUUGGAAAUAGAAGUUGUGAGUGAAACAUUUCUAAGAAUGAACACAAUAUGUGUAGGGAGCCUGUUCAAUGCUCGGAAGCAGUAGUACUUCCUUAGUUUCUGUUGAUUCCAUUUUAUUCCAGGAUCACUGGGUCAUGCUUUCAAACUCCUAGUUACCGGUUAAGAAAUGUGAUGAUCUUAGAAUCCCUCAGCAGUGGGGAGAGUGACAGUGAUCAGAAAGCGAAUAUACUCUAAAAACCUCUGAGAUUCCAAGAGAAAAAUAUAUAAGCUUAGGGCUAUUUGGUUGAUUAGGAUUUCCCCCAAAUGUCUUAAAUAUAGGACUAUAUAAAAUGGAAAGUUUUAAAUAUUUAACUUACAGACAGUUCCAUUAUGUAAAAAGCUUACUUGGCUUCCAGAUAAUAUAAAACUAAAGGGAAAAGGUGGGGUGGGGAUGGGAAAAUGCUCAGUCAUGAAAAAAUUUAUCCAGCUGAUAAAAAUGUCAUCUUGUUCAAGACAAAAAUAGGAUAUCUUCAGCUCUUUCCAAUUUCCAUUCCAGCUAGAUUAUUUUAUUAUUUUUAAUUUAACCCUCAAGGGUUACUUUGGCCUUUGAAACAGAAUUUUUAAUACCUUUUUUUUAUACAUAUAACUGACAUAGUUUAUUGGCUUUAAAUUAUCACGUAACAGUAGUGAACACACUGAACUCUGUAGACUUUUGCCCCAUUUGGCAUUUUUGAAGUGAAGCUGGAUGGGACACAGCUGAACUCUAUCAAAAUUCAAACACACCCCGGUCUUUGACCUGUCAGGCAGAAGCUGCAGUGAAAGUCGGAAUGCAUUUAGCACUUAUUCACUGAUUAAUUCACCAAACAUACGUUACCCGACCCACCCAAUCUUGCAGGUUUAGCACAACAAACCUUGAUGGCUCACUUAAGACUCAGUGGCCUGUGGAGUGCGGGGCUCUGCUCAGAGCAGUGACUCAGCUGUGCAAGUAUGAGACAUUACAGGAGGUCUGGCGAGUGAGUGGUCAAGGACAGCGAGGAGAAGGCGGGCCGGGUGGUGCUGGGCAGGUGCAGCUGGCCAAGGCAUCAUGUGCAGGGUGUCACCCACACUAGGUAUUUGGGAGCCAUUCUUCAGUGAAACCUACUGCAGAACUAGUGUAGGGGUAAAACAAAUUCCAUUUUGCACAGGUUAAUUUGGGGUUCUCUGUAGGACAAUUGGAGCCCUGGUGGCGCAGUGAUUAAAGUCAUUAACUGCUAACUCAAAGUUCGGCAGUUUGAAACCACCAGUGGCUCUGCAGGAGAAAGAUGUGGCAGUCUGCUUCUGUAAAGAUUAUAGCCUUGGAAACCCACUGGAGUCACUCUGCACCGGAAUCAACUCCAUGGGCAGUGGAUUUUUUUGGUUUGGUGGAAGAAGAAUCAAUACUGUUUUGCAUUUAUGGAAUAAGGAAAGGAUAGUGAAUGUCCUGGUUUGUCAACUAGAUGAGUAAUGUAGUAGUGAAAUUAAGUGACAAAAGAUGAGGAAACAUUUGAUGUUGAACAGAGAAUUUGCUGAGUUACAUGGGCAUCCUGGUGAAGAGGGUAGAAGCUCAGAAAUGUGAUUAGCUUAGACAGGAGAUAGAGGCAAGAGAUAGUGUUUUGAGAGUCAUUAGGGUGAGAACACAUAUUAAUUAAGUUGAAGGGAGUAAAUGAGAUUGCCUAGGGGGUGCUUGUAGCAUGACCAUGGACCGUGUAAGCUAGAACUCUGGAAAACCCCACAAUCAAGGGGAAAACACAAAACAAAACAAGAGGCAGGAGUGCCACAUGUGAUCGUACAGGUCAUACACUGCACAACUUCUGACUGUGCUGGGGUGGGUGCCUCUGGACUUGUGCAAUGCAGUGACCCUGGAGAAGAAGGAAAAAGGUGAGAGAAGAAUACAGCAACCAAAGAAGGGGGAGGAGUGCCAGAACAGUGUUUCAAGAGGGAAGAGGUGGUCAAGUCUGUCAUGAGAAGAUGAGGUAGCAGAGUGUAAGCUUCACCUUCAAAGAGUUGGAGAAGAAGAGGGUCCAAGGAAUUUUUUGUUUUGUUUGUUUGUCAAAAGACAGGAGGGUGUUGAGUGUGUGGUAGGUAAAAGAAAUGAAGCUAGUAUAGGGACAUUAAGAAUAUAAGAAAUGUGGAUAUAUUUUUUUUCAGCCUUGCAGUUCCAAAGAGAAGUGGUAGCUCUGAUGCUAGUGUAAGCCAGUCACUGGAGCUUGGUGUCUGGACAGGACAGGCAGGAUACAGACCUUCAUGUCUGAGCAGGAGCCACUCCAGCAGGGCAGAUAGGAGGCUUCAGAGAGCCAAAGCAUCUGGGAGCCACAGCAGAUGUGCCAACCCAGGCACAGGUGGGUUUCACAUCUAUGACUCUGGUUGCAGAGACAGAAACAUUACAACAAUGUUGAGAACAACAAUAACAAAAAACUCGAUUAAAAAGGAGACUGUGGACGUUGAACACUAGAUAUUUUUGUACAUCCACCCAUAGCUGGAAAUGCAUCUUUCAUAACUAAUUUUUUUUAAUUAAUUUUUAUUAAGCUUCAAGUGAACAUUUACCAUUCCAGUCUGUCACAUGUAGGUUUACAUACAUCUUACUCCCUUUUCCCACUUGCUCUCCCCCUAUUGAGUCAGCCCUUUCAGUCUCUCGUUUCUUGCCAAUUUUGCCAGCUUCCCUCUCUCUCUAUCUUCCCAUCCCCUCUCCAGUCAAGAGUUGCCAACACACUCUCCAGUGUCCACCUGAUUUAAUUAGCUCACUCUUCAUCAGCAUCUCUCUCCCCGCCACUGACCAGUCCUUUUCAUGCCUGAUGAUUUGUCUUCGGGGAUGGUUCCUGUCCUGUGCUAUCAGAAGUUCUGGAGAGCAUUGUCUCUGGGAUUCCUCUAGUCACAGUCAUACCAUUAGGUAUGGUCUUUUCAUGAGAAUUUGGGGUCUGUAUCCCAUUGGUCUCCUGCUCCCUCAGGAGUUGUCUGUUGUGCUCCCUGACAGGGCAGACAUCGAUUGUGGCUGGGCACCAACUAGUUCUUCUGGUCUCAGGAUAAUGUAGGUCUCUGGUUCAUGUGGCCCUUUCUGUCUCUUGGGUUCUUAGUUGUCGUGUGACCUUGGUGUUCUUCCUUUGCCUUUGCUCCAGGUGGGUUGAGACCAAUUGAUGUAUCUUAGAUGGCCGCUUGUUGGGAUUUAGGACCCCAGGCGCCACAAUUCAAAGUGGGAUGCAGAAUGUUUUCAUAAUAGAAUUAUUUUGCCCAUUGACUUAGAAGUCCCCUCAAACCAAGUUCCCCAGACCCCAGCCCCUGCUCCGCUGACCUUUGAAGCUUUCGUUUUAUCCCGGAAACCUCUUUGCUUUUAGUCCAGUCCAAUUAGGCUGACCUUCCUUGUAUUGAGUGUUGUCUUUCCCUUCACCCAAAGCAGUUCCCAUCUACAGAUUGAUCAAUAAAAAGCCCUCUCCCUCCCUCCCUCCCUCCCCCCUUUGUAACCACAAAAGUAUGUGUUCUUCUCCGUUUUUUCUAUUUCUCAAGAUCUUAUAAUAGUGGUCUUAUACAAUAUUUGUCCUUUUGCAACUGACUCAUUUCGCUCAGCAUAAUGCCUUCCAGAUUCCUAUGAAAUGUUUCAGAGAUUCGUCACUGUUCUUUAUCGAUGUGUAGUAUUCCAUUGUGUGAAUAUACCACAAUUUAUUUACCCAUUCAUCCGUUGACGGACAUCUUGGUUGCUUCCAGCUUUUUGCUAUUGUAAACAGAGCUGCAAUAAACAUGGGUGUGCAUAUAUCUGUUUGUGUGAAGGCUCUUGUAUCUCUAGGGUAUAUUCUGAGGAGUGGGAUUUCUGGGUUGUAUGGUAGUUCUAUUUCUAACCGUUUAAGAUAACGCCAGAUGGAUUUCCAAAGUGGUUGUACCAUUUUACAAUCCCACCAGCAGUGUAUGAGAGUUCCAAUCUCUCCGCAGCCUCUCCAACGUUUCUUAUUUUGUGUUUUUUGGAUUAAUGCCAGUCUAGUUGGUGUGAGAUGGAAUCUCAUCGUAGUUUUAAUUUGCAUUUCUCUAAUGGCUAAUGAUCGGGAGCAUUUUCUCAUGUAUCUGUUCGCUGCCUGAAUAUCUUCUUUAGUGAAAUGUGUGUUCAUAUCCUUUGCCCACUUCUUGAUUGGGUUGUUUGUCUUUUUGUGGUUGAGUUUUGACAGAAUCAUGUAGAUUUUAGAGAUCAGGCGCUGGUCGGAGAUGUCAUAGCUGAAAAUUCUUUCCCAGUCUGUAGGUGGUCUUUUUACUCUUUUGGUGAAGUCUUUAGAUGAGCAUAGGUGUUUGAUUUUUAGGAGCUCCCAGUUAUCUGGUUUCUCUUCAUCAUUUUUGGUAAUGUUUUGUAUUCUGUUUAUACCUUGUAUUAGGGCUCCUAGGGUUGAUCCUAUUUUUUCUUCCAUGAUCGUUAUCGUUUUAGUCUUUAUGUUUAGGUCUUUGAUCCACUUGGAGUUAGUUUUUGUGCGUGGUGUGAGGUAUGGGUCCUGUUUCAUUCUUUUGCAAAUGGAUAUCCAGUUAUGCCAGCACCAUUUGUUAAAAAGACUAUCAUUUCCCCAAUUGACUGACACUGGUCCUUUGUCAAAUAUCAGCUGCUCAUACAUGGAUGGAUUUAUAUCUGGGUUCUCAGUUCUGUUCCAUUGGUCUAUGUGCCUGUUGUUGUACCAGUACCAGGCUGUUUUGACUACUGUAGCUGUAUAAUAGGUUCUGAAAUCAGGUAGAGUGAGGCCUCCCACUUUCUUCUUUUUCAGUAAUGCUUUGCUUAUCCGGGGGUUCUUUCUCUUCCAUAUGAAAUUAGUGAUUUGUUUCUCUAUGCCCUUAAAAUAUGCCAUUGGUAUUUGGAUUGGAAGUGCGUUAUAUGUAUAGAUGGCUUUUGGUAGAAUAGACAUUUUUACUAUGUUAAGUCUUCCUAUCCAUGAGCAGGGUAUGUUUUUCCACUUAAGUAUGUCCUUUUGAAUUUCUUGUAGCAGAGUUUUAUAGUUUUCUUUGUAUAGGUCUUUUACAUCCUUGGUAAGAUUUAUUCCUAAGUAUUUUAUCUUCUUGGGGGCUACUGUGAAUGGUAUUGAUUUGGUAAUUUCCUCUUCGGUGUUCUUUUUGUUGAUGUAGAGGAAUCCAAGUGAUUUUUGUAUGUUUAUUUUAUAACCUGAGACUCUUCCAAACUCUUCUAUUAGUUUCGGUAGUUUUCUGGAGGAUUCAUUAGGGUUUUCCGUGUAUAAGAUGUCAUCUGCAAAUAGUGAUAGCUUUACUUCCUCCUUACCAAUCUGGAUACCCUUUAUUUCUUUGUCUAGCCUAAUUGCCCUGGCUAGGACUUCAAGUACGAUGUUGAAUAAGAGCGGUGAUAAAGGGCAUCCUUGUCUGGUUCCCGUUCUCAAGGGAAAUGCUUUCAGGUUCUCUCCAUUUAGAGUGAUCUUGGCUGUUGGCUUUGCAUAGAUGCCCUUUAUUAUGUUGAGGAAUUUUCCUUCAAUUCCUAUUUUGGUAAGAGUUUUUAUCAUAAAUGGGUGUUGAACUUUGUCAAAUGCCUUUUCUGCAUCAAUUGAUAAGAUCAUGUGGUUUUUAUCUUUUGUUUUAUUUAUGUGAUGGAUUACAUUAAUGGUUUUUCUGAUAUUAAACCAGCCUUGCAUACCUGGUAUAAAUCCCACUUGAUCAGGGUGAAUUAUUUUUUUGAUGUGUUGUUGGAUUCUAUUGGCUAGCAUUUUGUUGAGGAUAUAGGUCUAAAAUUUUCUCUUUUUGUAAUGUCUUUACCUGGUUUUGGUAUCAG